CAUGGAGCGGUUCAAAGCUUUGGUUGGAUCGGACUUCAAGCCAAAAAGUGUGAUGUCGGACUACGAACGGGCGAUCCUGAACACCAUGCAAACUGCCUUUCCGGAAUCGAGAGUGUCUGGAUGCAGAUUUCACUUCAGCCAAGCAGUUCUCCGGAAAGUGUGUGCUCGCAACAAGGAGGAUUUCUAUAAAAAUGUUGAGUUUAGGAAUCUGAUGCUCAAACACAUGGCCCUAAGCACUCUACCGGCGAACCAAAUGGUACCGGUAUUCCAACAGCUGAAGCAAGAAGUGCUCCACUUACAACCACUCAGGCUCCGGAAGCAAGUCCAGAUAAUGCACAGGAAUUACUUCUUAAAGUGGUGGUUCCAAGGCAUCGGGCCCCAGCUGAUCUCUACGUACGGUCUUGCACAUAAGACCAACAACGUCUGCGAAAGUCUCCAUAAGAAAAUGUCUUUGAAGCUGGCAAAGGCGUCGACAAUCUGGAG